rnacentral:tRNA from 1 species
GCCUGAGUGGUGGAAUGGUAGACACGAAGGACUUAAAAUCCUUUGACCAUAACCGGUUGUGCGGGUUCGAGUCCCGCCUCAGGUA